rnacentral:rRNA from 1 species
GACGUAGGGCGCGAGCGUUGUCCGGAUUUAUUGGGCGUAAAGAGCUCGUAGGCGGCUUGUCGCGUCGACUGUGAAAUCCCGCGGCUCAACUGCGGGUCUGCAGUCGAUACGGGCAGGCUAGAGUUCGGUAGGGGAGACUGGAAUUCCAGGUGUAGCGGUGAAAUGCGUAGAUAUCUGGAGGAAUACCGGUGGCGAAGGCGGCAUCCUGGACCGACAUUGACGCUGAACGGCGAAAGCUAGGGGAGCAAACGGG